UCGCCGCGGUAAGACGAACCGUGCGAACGUUAUUCGGAAUCAUUGGGCUUAAAGCGCGUGUAGGCGGAUGGGAACGUCGGUCGCUGAAAUACCCCGGCUCAACCGGGGAACUGGCAUCGAAACGACCCGUCUCGAGGGGCAUAGGGGGAGCUGGAACUUCCGGUGGAGCGGUGAAAUGCGUUGAGAUCGGAAGGAACGCCCGUGGCGAAAGCGAGCUCCUGGAUGUCUUCUGACGCUGAGACGCGAAAGCUAGGGUAGCGAACGGGAUUAGAGACCCGUGUAGUCCCUGUCUCUUAUACAC
rnacentral:rRNA from 1 species